GGUCGUCUAACAUUUGUAUCAUCUGCAACCUGCAUCCCGCGUUCAUGUAGGACGGCAGUUCAAGGAAGAUGGUAGUUCCAACAUCCAUCUCAGAGCGAUGGAGCUUAGCACCGCCAACUACUGAGGAAACACACGUGUACAGUCACUGCUGAAUGGCCCCAAAAACGAGUGGCAGUGACUGCAACAUCAAGCGCACUGCACCUGAACAACUGCAACCACAAUAUGAUUACGAGUGAUGUCAGUGGCUUGAAAAGAAGGACGGAAGAUGAGCUGAUUAAGGACGGAGUGAAACUUUGGACUCAGGAAGGAUUAAGAAGGAUACAUGCUGGCAUUUGCCUUACGAGUUAUAGAAAAAUCAUGGAAAAUAUAUGGAUGGACGCACGAGGAAUUGAACAGCCGGCCUUCUUGAGUGUGUUAGCACUGUAUCUCCUCGCUCUUAGGCAUGGAAUGCAUAGAAUGGUGUCAACACGAUAUUUCCGUAUCAGUGCUUAGUUUUCUU